rnacentral:snoRNA from 1 species
ACCCUCCAGUUUCCUAACCCCUCACAUCUCAACAUUGGUCUCAGUGGGUAAAAAAGGGGGAAAAGUAACAGUAAAUUGGCCUUGGAAUCCUUAGUGAUAUAGAAAUAAAUUUGAAACAUUU